AACUAAUCAUACAUUAUCUUGUGGCUUUGAGAUUUCAAUGAUGUGAUUGUUGAUUUUCACAAUGGCAUUGUUAUGUAGAUGUGAGAGUCCAGAUCUGGCCAAUUAGAACAUAAAACAGUUAGAAAAUUCUGGGCUGGAUAUGGUCAGUUCAAAUGCUAAAG